rnacentral:rRNA from 1 species
CAUGGAGUUUGAUCCUGGCUCAGGAUGAACGCUAGCGGCAGGCUUAACACAUGCAAGUCGAGGGUAUAGUUCUUCGGAGCUAGAGACCGGCGCACGGGUGCGUAACGCGUAUGCAAUCUACCUUUUACAGAGGGAUAGCCCAGAGAAAUUUGGAUUAAUACCUCAUAGUAUGUGAGAAUCGCAUGGUUUUUCACAUUAAAAGUUCCAACGGUAAAAGAUGAGCAUGCGUCCCAUUAGCUAGAUGGUAAGGUACGGCUACCAUGGCAACGAUGGGGUAGGGGUCCUGAGAGGGAGACUCCCCCACACUGGUACCGAGACACGGACCAGACU